rnacentral:rRNA from 1 species
GACGAACGCUGGCGGCGUGCUUAACACAUGCAAGUCGAACGCUGAAGCUCAGCUUUUGUUGGGUGGAUGAGUGGCGAACGGGUGAGUAACACGUGAGUAACCUGCCUCCUUCUUUGGGAUAACGCCCGGAAACGGGUGCUAAUACUGGAUAUUCACUGGUCUUCGCAUGGGGGUUGGUGGAAAGGGUUUUUCUGGUGGGGGAUGGGCUUGCGGCCUAUCAGCUUGUUGGUGGGGUGAUGGCCUACCAAGGCUUUGACGGGUAGCCGGCCUGAGAGGGUGACCGGUCACAUUGGGACUGAGAUACGGCCCAGACUCCUACGGGAGGCAGCAGUGGGGAAUAUUGCACAAUGGGCGCAAGCCUGAUGCAGCGACGCCGCGUGAGGGAUGGAGGCCUUCGGGUUGUGAACCUCUUUCGCUCAUGGUCAAGCCGCAACAAUGGUUGUGGUGAGGGUAGUGGGUAAAGAAGCGCCGGCUAACUACGUG